GUCGCAUCCGGGAGAUUUGAUAAAAUUGGAAUGAUAGAGAGAAGAUUUGUAUGACCCAUGUACAAGAACGACACAUUAAUUGAGAAAAGGUCCAAAAUGUU